rnacentral:lncRNA from 1 species
ACAAAAUCGUAAUUUACUGCUUACAUCAGCGUGGAUCUCACCUGAGGGACAACACCUGGAGCAGCCGCCGGCCACCAGGAGGAUGUGCCAUGUUCUCCGCAAUGCAGGACAAGCCAGAGAAAAGCAGUGGGCAGCUAUGUGAGCUGGAGUUCAACUACCCCCGAGUUCCAGCAGUGAUGCUCAGAAAGCACUCUGUGUAAAUCUCUUCAUCCAGAACCAACAUCCACUCUCAAACAAGCCUGCUGGUUUUAGACAUAGCUAGAAAGCAUUGGUGCUAUGCUUUCCCUGUAACUUCAGAAAAUGAAGAGAACGAAGAAGAUAAGAAUGGCAAUAUCCACUGAGUAUUGUAAUAAAAAGGCAACAACCUACAGCAGCUUGGAUUCCUUUGU